GGGGAAUUUUCCGCAAUGGGCGAAAGCCUGACGGAGCAAUACCGCGUGAGGGAGGAAGGCUCUUGGGUUGUAAACCUCUUUUCUCAGGGAAUAAGAANCUGAAGGUACCUGAGGAAUCAGCAUCGGCUAACUCCGUGCCAGCAGCCGCGGUAAUANCGGAGGAUGCAAGCGUUAUCCGGAAUGAUUGGGCGUAAAGCGUCCGCAGGUGGUUUAUCAAGUCUGCUGUCAAAGAGUUUGGCUCAACCAAAUAAAGGCAGUGGAAACUGACAGACUGGAGUGCGGUAAGGGCAGAGGGAAUUCCUGGUGUAGCGGUGAAAUGCGUAGAUAUUGGGAAGAACACCGGUGGCGAAAGCGCUCUACUGGGCCAUAACUGACACUGAUGGACGAAAGCUAGGGGAGCGAAAGGGAUUAGAUACNCCCUGUAGUC
rnacentral:rRNA from 1 species